GACUGGAGUAAUGAUGCUGAAAAUUAAACUUUGCCAUAACCAUAAAUUAAUGACAGUUAUAUUAAAUUGUUCAAAUAUUUCAUGUUUUAAUUUGGAUCGUAUAAUGCUGCCUUGGUAAGAAUGAGAGACUUCUGUCAAAACUGUAAAGAAAAUGCAAACUUUCAAAUGGUAGUAUCACAAAAUUUCAAUUUAAUAUAUAAUCUAAUAUAAGUAUCUAUAUAAAUGAAUACUGACCUCAAAUAUACAGAAUAUUCUAAAAGGGGAGAAAAACGUGUAAUUGCAACCUGACUGCCUGUCAGUUUGAAUGUGAAUCAAACCAAAAAAAAUAUGAUUUUUUUUGUACAUCCCAUUCAAAUUAUAUUAGUGUAAUAUGCUCUUGAAAACUUACAACACUAAUCUGAUUUGAACAAGACUGAAUUUGGUUUUAGACACUACGGACAAAACACAUCAAGAAAAUAACAAAACGGCUCAGAGCUUGAACAAAUGAUUAAUCGCCUUGACAUUAACCUCUUGAACUCUGGCCACGCCCUAGGACCCACCGGUGGGUCCGCGGGGAGGUCAUAAUAUUAUUCUUUAAAAAUCUAUAAACUGUGAAGCACAAAACUAGUCAUAUAUGGUAUUUUUUGAAAGCUUAGAACCUCUGCUUUCUUGCAAGUCCCAUGGUAUUUGCAUUAAUUUUACAUAAAAGAAAAUAAUAAGGUAUAAAUUCGUUCUUCCACAACCACCCCCCCUUGAGAAAAUCAGAUGAAUAAUGAUCAUAUUUCAUAUUUAUAGCACACAAACUCACCAAACAUGGACAAGUCACACAUCAAAUGAAAGCUCUCACUCUCAGGAAUGUCACUGUGUACUUUAUUUCACCGAUCUUAUACAUUACAGUGACAUAACAAAUAAUAAUUUUCAAAAGAAUCACGAAAACUGAAAUUACUUAUGUGAACAAGCAAACGUAUGCGUCAUAUUUCUGCGCUGAUAACUACAUCUGUGCUCACAUACUAGCCUAAAAUCAUAUAUCAGCUUUUACAUUAGGUUGUUUUCUUCAAAAUGAGAGCAUUCUCGUGUGUCUGUGAGCAUGCAUGGCUAAACGGCACUAUAAUAUGUCUCAGAUGCGCAGAUCAAAACAUGCAAUACAGCGUUAACCAUGACCAGUAUUUGUAUCGACUCUCUUUGAUUCAUUUCGACUUGCAAUGACGUCAUCACGCAGUGCGUCCUAUGUCAUGAAAGCUGACAGCCUCCCCUCUCCAUAGACACAUCGAUCAAGCUUCUAGACCAUUCAGAGCCCGAGUUGUUCCUUUCCAAAGUUGAGGAGGUGGGACUAAAGAAAACAGUGCAAACGGGCGCAGAUGAUUAUUAGGAGUUGAUCGGAAGUUGGUUUGUGAUUUUGGAUAGCGUUUUAGCGAAUUAUUGCGUGCUUUUAUUACUGUUAGAGUUAUAUGUCUCUGAAAAAUGACUUCAAGAAAGUUUUUUGUUGGUGUGGAGGCGGCUUUGGAGGAGUUUGAUCGGAUGUCCGACACUGAAACUUGCAGCGAGGCUAGCUAGCUUUGACUCGGUCAGAGAAGCUGCUUACAAACUGGGAGAAGACCCUUAUUUUGAUUGUAGCAUCCAGUGGUGAAGAAUGGGAGCCAGCAAGUCGGGAUACUUGUUGUGUGUGUGUGUGUGUGUGUGU